rnacentral:rRNA from 1 species
GCGAUACAGGGUGACAGCCCCGUACACAAAAAUGCACAUACUGUGAGCUCGAUGAGUAGGGCGGGACACGUGGUAUCCUGUCUGAAUAUGGGGGGACCAUCCUCCAAGGCUAAAUACUCCUGACUGACCGAUAGUGAACCAGUACCGUGAGGGAAAGGCGAAAAGAACCCCGGCGAGGGGAGUGAAAAAGAACCUGAAACCGUGUACGUACAAGCAGUGGGAGCACGCUUAGGCGUGUGACUGCGUACCUUUUGUAUAAUGGGUCAGCGACUUAUAUUCUGUAGCAAGGUUAACCGAAUAGGGGAGCCGAAGGGAAACCGAGUCUUAACUGGGCGUUAAGUUGCAGGGUAUAGACCCGAAACCCGGUGAUCUAGCCAUGGGCAGGUUGAAGGUUGGGUAACACUAACUGGAGGACCGAACCGACUAAUGUUGAAAAAUUAGCGGAUGACUUGUGGCUGGGGGUGAAAGGCCAAUCAAACCGGGAGAUAGCUGGUUCUCCCCGAAAGCUAUUUAGGUAGCGCCUCGUGAAUUCAUCUCCGGGGGUAGAGCACUGUUUCGGCAAGGGGGUCAUCCCGACUUACCAACCCGAUGCAAACUGCGAAUACCGGAGAAUGUUAUCACGGGAGACACACGGCGGGUGCUAACGUCCGUCGUGAAGAGGGAAACAACCCAGACCGCCAGCUAAGGUCCCAAAGUCAUGGUUAAGUGGGAAACGAUGUGGGAAGGCCCAGACAGCCAGGAUGUUGGCUUAGAAGCAGCCAUCAUUUAAAGAAAGCGUAAUAGCUCACUGGUCGAGUCGGCCUGCGCGGAAGAUGUAACGGGGCUAAACCAUGCACCGAAGCUGCGGCAGCGACGCUUAUGCGUUGUUGGGUAGGGGAGCGUUCUGUAAGCCUGUGAAGGUGUACUGUGAGGUAUGCUGGAGGUAUCAGAAGUGCGAAUGCUGACAUAAGUAACGAUAAAGCGGGUGAAAAGCCCGCUCGCCGGAAGACCAAGGGUUCCUGUCCAACGUUAAUCGGGGCAGGGUGAGUCGACCCCUAAGGCGAGGCCGAAAGGCGUAGUCGAUGGGAAACAGGUUAAUAUUCCUGUACUUGGUGUUACUGCGAAGGGGGGACGGAGAAGGCUAUGUUGGCCGGGCGACGGUUGUCCCGGUUUAAGCGUGUAGGCUGGUUUUCCAGGCAAAUCCGGAAAAUCAAGGCCGAGGCGUGAUGACGAGGCACUACGGUGCUGAAGCAACAAAUGCCCUGCUUCCAGGAAAAGCCUCUAAGCAUCAGGUAACAUCAAAUCGUACCCCAAACCGACACAGGUGGUCAGGUAGAGAAUACCAAGGCGCUUGAGAGAACUCGGGUGAAGGAACUAGGCAAAAUGGUGCCGUAACUUCGGGAGAAGGCACGCUGAUACGUAGGUGAAGCGACUUGCUCGUGGAGCUGAAAUCAGUCGAAGAUACCAGCUGGCUGCAACUGUUUAUUAAAAACACAGCACUGUGCAAACACGAAAGUGGACGUAUACGGUGUGACGCCUGCCCGGUGCCGGAAGGUUAAUUGAUGGGGUUAGCGCAAGCGAAGCUCUUGAUCGAAGCCCCGGUAAACGGCGGCCGUAACUAUAACGGUCCUAAGGUAGCGAAAUUCCUUGUCGGGUAAGUUCCGACCUGCACGAAUGGCGUAAUGAUGGCCAGGCUGUCUCCACCCGAGACUCAGUGAAAUUGAACUCGCUGUGAAGAUGCAGUGUACCCGCGGCAAGACGGAAAGACCCCGUGAACCUUUACUAUAGCUUGACACUGAACAUUGAGCCUUGAUGUGUAGGAUAGGUGGGAGGCUUUGAAGUGUGGACGCCAGUCUGCAUGGAGCCGACCUUGAAAUACCACCCUUUAAUGUUUGAUGUUCUAACGUGGACCCGUGAUCCGGGUUGCGGACAGUGUCUGGUGGGUAGUUUGACUGGGGCGGUCUCCUCCUAAAGAGUAACGGAGGAGCACGAAGGUUGGCUAAUCCUGGUCGGACAUCAGGAGGUUAGUGCAAUGGCAUAAGCCAGCUUGACUGCGAGCGUGACGGCGCGAGCAGGUGCGAAAGCAGGUCAUAGUGAUCCGGUGGUUCUGAAUGGAAGGGCCAUCGCUCAACGGAUAAAAGGUACUCCGGGGAUAACAGGCUGAUACCGCCCAAGAGUUCAUAUCGACGGCGGUGUUUGGCACCUCGAUGUCGGCUCAUCACAUCCUGGGGCUGAAGUAGGUCCCAAGGGUAUGGCUGUUCGCCAUUUAAAGUGGUACGCGAGCUGGGUUUAGAACGUCGUGAGACAGUUCGGUCCCUAUCUGCCGUGGGCGCUGGAGAACUGAGGGGGGCUGCUCCUAGUACGAGAGGACCGGAGUGGACGCAUCACUGGUGUUCGGGUUGUCAUGCCAAUGGCACUGCCCGGUAGCUAAAUGCGGAAGAGAUAAGUGCUGAAAGCAUCUAAGCACGAAACUUGCCCCGAGAUGAGU